UGUGCCCAGUGACUAGUUAAACGGCGCGGUAUUUUGACCGUGCGAAGGUAGCGCAAUCACUUGUCUUUUAAAUGAAGACCUGUAUGAAUGGUGGAACGAGGGCUUAACUGUCUCCCUUUUCAGUUCAAUGAAAUUGAUCUGCCCGUGCAGAAAGCGGACAUGUCUAUACAAGACGAGAAGACCCUUUGGAGCUUAAGAUGUAAGACCAACUACGUUAAGAAUAGCCUAAACCAAUUAAACUAAGUAGCAACUGGUCCCUAUCUUCGGUUGGGGCGACCACGGGAGAAAAUUAAGCUCCCACCGUGGGACUGGGGCCACCCCUAAACUAAAGAGAGACAUCUCUAGUCAACAGAAUUUCCUGACCCAAAGAUCCGGCCAUCGGCCGAUCAACGAACCAGUUUACCCUUAGGGAUUACAGGCGCAAUCCCCUUCCAGAGUCCAAUAUCGACAAGGGGGUUUACCGACCUCCCAUGUUGGAUUCAGGGACAUCCCUAAUGGUGCAGCCCGCCUAUUAAGGGUUCCGUUUGUUCAACCGAAUAAAGUCCU
rnacentral:rRNA from 1 species